CCUACGGGUGGCAGCAGUGGGGAAUAUUGCACAAUGGGGGAAACCCUGAUGCAGCGACGCCGCGUGAGUGAAGAAGUAUUUCGGUAUGUAAAGCUCUGUCAGCAGGGAAGAAAAUGACGGUACCUGACCAAGAAGCCCCGGCUAAAUACGUGCCAGCAGCCGCGGUAAUACGUAGGGGGCAAGCGUUAUCCGGAUUUACUGGGUGUAAAGGGAGCGUAGACGGCAGGGCAAGUCUGGAGUGAAAGGCGCGGGCUCAAGCCCCGGACGGCACUGGAAACUGCCAGGCUGGAGUGCGGGAGAGGUAAGCGGAAUGCCUGGUGUAGCGGUGAAAUGCGUAGAUAUUAGGAGGAACACCAGUGGCGAAGGCGGCUUACUGGACUGUAACUGACGUUGAGGCUCGAAGGCGUGGGGAGCAAACAGGAUUAGAUACCCCAGUAGUC
rnacentral:rRNA from 1 species